CUAGCGUUGCUCGGAAUCACUGGGCGUAAAGCGCGCGUAGGCGGCUUCUUAAGUCAGGUGUGAAAUCCUGGAGCUCAACUCCAGAACUGCCUUUGAUACUGAGUAGCUUGAGUCCGGGAGAGGUGAGUGGAACUGCGAGUGUAGAGGUGAAAUUCGUAGAUAUUCGCAAGAACACCAGUGGCGAAGGCGGCUCACUGGCCCGGUACUGACGCUGAGGUGCGAAAGCGUGGGGAGCAAACAGG
rnacentral:rRNA from 1 species